rnacentral:rRNA from 1 species
GUGUCAGCAGCCGCGGUAAUACGUAGGGUGCGGGCGUUAUCCGGAAUUAUUGGGCGUAAAGAGCUCGUAGGCGGUUCGUCGCGUCUGCCGUGAAAGUCCGGGGCUUAACUCCGGAUCUGCGGUGGGUACGGGCAGACUAGAGUGCAGUAGGGGAGACUGGAAUUCCUGGUGUAGCGGUGGAAUGCGCAGAUAUCAGGAGGAACACCGAUGGCGAAGGCAGGUCUCUGGGCUGUAACUGACGCUGAGGAGCGAAAGCGUGGGGAGCAAACAGGAUUAGAUACCCUUGUAGUCC